CUCUAUGGCCAUGCCACCCUGAACAAGCCCGAUCCCGUCUGAUCUCAGAAGCUAAGCAGGGUCAGGCCUGGUUAGUACUUGGACAGGAGACCACCUAGAAAGACCAGAUGCUAUAGACA
rnacentral:rRNA from 1 species